rnacentral:rRNA from 1 species
UACGGGGGGGGCAAGCGUUGUUCGGAAUUACUGGGCGUAAAGGGCUCGUAGGCGGCCAACUAAGUCGGACGUGAAAUCCCUCGGCUUAACCGGGGAACUGCGUCCGAUACUGGAUGGCUGGAGUAUGGGAGAGGGAUGCGGAAUUCCAGGUGUAGCGGUGAAAUGCGCAGAUAUCAGGAAGAACACCCGUGGCGAAGGCGGCUCUCUGGGACGGUACUGACGCUGAGACGCGAAAGCGUGGGGAGCGAACAGG